UGCGUUGUUUGUGUGUUUACCAACGGUUUAGGAUGCGUUGCCUUAUCCGGCGUUGCUAGCGCAUAAUGCAACGCUUAUAUUAUCGUUGGUAAAAGAGACCGUUGCAAGAAUACAACACAUAAAACAGACUUGUGCAACACUUCUAUGUGUUGGUGCUUAUUGUAUAGGAAACAAAGUUCCAGGGCUUGGCAACAAAGAAUUUGCAACGUGGUUCAUAUAUAAUAUGAAUAAUAUUUUUUAUACAUAUUGCCAGCAAUUAAAUUAGUGCUUUACAUAAUGGUGAUAAUUAUGAAUUUCCAGUAAAGACAAACAAGAGAAUAUACUCACGGGAGGAAGAAAUCAUAUAUUAAAUAAAACUGUUGGAUUACAAUAGUGCAUAUUACACAAGAAAAAUCAUCCAAAUGGGAAGUAUAAUCUAAAUGUUUCUUGACGGCGAAACUUAAACUGAAAGCAUCCGUAAACAUCCCUACAACGUAACUAAAACACAAUCGAGGAACAUCAUCCCUACAACUUAAUUAAAACUGACACCAUCCGUCUUCAUCAUCAUGAACAGGAACAUCAUCAUCAUCAUCCUUGUAGUAUACUUGCCACACACACCAAUAAAAUCAUCCAUUUAUCUUUUGAAUCUACAAACAAAAAAACAAAAUGAACUGUUAACACACACAAUGCAUUGACAUGAUGCAAGUAGUCAUAGAGGGAGGAUAUUACUCACUUACAAAGGUUGAGAUGCAAAAACAAAUCUGCAUUACCAAGAGUAUUGCAGUUUUUGCGACUCCGUACCCAAUCUUCAGUUUUCACAAGUGCCAUAUCAACAUGCACUACCCAGAAUUCAUUAGUAAUUUCAGCACCAUCAAGUUCAAAUUUAGGAUCACAACUUACAACUGUAGCAAGAGCUACAUGUGUUACGAUUUUUUAGGCUCAUUAAAAAUACUUUUGUUCCUACCUGUUAGAGAAAAUCAAAGUUACCAUUGAAAGAAUCAUGUCAAGCAAAAUAAUUAAUAGAAACGUGACAUAUAACAGAAAAGGUUGAGAGGCCAAGACAUGUGGUGUUUGCAUCUUCCCCUCUACUAUAUGGUUAUGAAUACAUCUACAGGUUAAUCUCAUGAUGUGCAACAUCUAUGAAAUUCUAUGAAGCCUUUCACUACAAACAAAGUAGUUUUGGUGAUGGACGCUGAAAAUAAUUAAACUUCAUAUGAUAGCUUCAGUGUAGAACACAAAGAUAGACAUUUUUAUUCAAGUAGCAGUAUGGUAUGAUCAACUGCAUAAUUCUGAGGCACCUAC
rnacentral:lncRNA from 1 species